AAUUGGUCGGGAGCUGAUGUUGCUCUCUUGAUGAGGCCAUGGCAGGCUGAAACCGGUU
rnacentral:hammerhead_ribozyme from 15 species